rnacentral:rRNA from 1 species
UAGCUGGUCUGAGAGGAUGACCAGCCACACUGGAACUGAGACACGGUCCAGACUCCUACGGGAGGCAGCAGUGGGGAAUAUUGCACAAUGGGCGCAAGCCUGAUGCAGCCAUGCCGCGUGUAUGAAGAAGGCCUUCGGGUUGUAAAGUACUUUCAGCGGGGAGGAAGGUGUUGUGGUUAAUAACCGCAGCAAUUGACGUUACCCGCAGAAGAAGCACCGGCUAACUCCGUGCCAGCAGCCGCGGUAAUACGGAGGGUGCAAGCGUUAAUCGGAAUUACUGGGCGUAAAGCGCACGCAGGCGGUCUGUCAAGUCGGAUGUGAAAUCCCCGGGCUCAACCUGGGAACUGCAUUCGAAACUGGCAGGCUUGAGUCUUGUAGAGGGGGGUAGAAUUCCAGGUGUAGCGGUG